rnacentral:misc_RNA from 1 species
AGGGUGGAGCGUGUGGACAUGAAAUCUGGAACUUCUAAAGAAAAUUGAGCUUUAUCUGGGCUCGCCAACUUCUCUGCAAAACAUUUGUAUUGGCUUGGAAACUUACUUGCUUGCCUGCUCUCCUUCCACUCACAGAUGGAAUCAUCCUGCAUUUUCUUCACUCGACCAUCCGUAACUCACCCACUACACCGCCCAAAAGUUGCCAUUUCUCAAGAAUGGUCAUGGCGGGAUCAAUCAAUUUAUUAUGCCAUGCCUACCACUACUGAUAAUAGGGGGAUCAAUGAAAUCUGUCUUGCCAUGCCUUCCAUUUCUGAACUUGUGCUGUCUGAAUGGCGAAACCUUGCUUAGCAAUGACAUCUCAGACCUGAAACUUUGGUUUAAAACUCUUAAAUGCCAACAUCUUGAUUUAGUUCAUCAUGCAACGCCUCUACAUCCUUAUGUGCAUCAGCCCAUCA